GAAGAUUCUCCUACUUCAAUUCUAGAAUAAGAAAAGAUGAAGGUCCUAAUCCUGAUUACAGUUGUCUUGACCAUAACUGUUUGCUUCUCUUCGGCUGAAGGACAUAAGCAUGAUCACAAAAAACACCACAACAAUAUACAUGAUCCAGAAUGCAGAAGGUCAAGAGAACCACAGGGUCCCAGAAGACCUCCUGGCCCACAUCAUCCAGAUGAUUUAUCUGAGCCACAAGGUCCACCUGAUUCACAAGAUGAUCAAGGAGCUUUCUCACCAUUUAAGAAUUGUAUAAUGAUUUGUCAUAAUGCCCCUACAAAUGACCUUCCUGGAUCUUCUGUCACCUCUCCUAUUUCAGUUCCUAUCUCUGCCACCAAAGCUAUCACAACUCCUCCACCUGAUGCCAAAAUCAAUGUUCAUACCAUGCCUGAAAACAGUCUCACUGCCAGUCCUCAAAACCCAGACACUACAACUAUAUAAAACUUUCCCAGCCUGAAUUUACAAAAGGAAAAAGUCAAGCCUUGAUUAUUGCCAUUGAUCAUGCUAAUUCUGAAUGCUGCGUGCUUAUCAGCUGACUGUUAAAAAUAAAUCAACACCAUCUGACUUGACUAAGGAAAUAAGAAAUUUUAGGAAUGUUACCUCUUUUUUAAUCACCUAAGAUCAUACGUAUAACUUUUCUCCAAUAAAGC